rnacentral:rRNA from 1 species
ACGGAAGGCAGCAGUGAGGAAUAUUGGUCAAUGGGCGAGAGCCUGAACCAGCCAAGUAGCGUGCAGGAUGACGGCCCUAUGGGUUGUAAACUGCUUUUAGCCGGGAAUAACGUUACCUUCGUGAAGGUAAGUGCAUGUACCGGUUGAAUAAGGAUCGGCUAACUCCGUGCCAGCAGCCGCGGUAAUACGGAGGAUUCGAGCGUUAUCCGGAUUUAUUGGGUUUAAAGGGAGCGUAGGCGGGAAGUCAAGUCAGCUGUGAAAUGUAGGCGCUCAACGUCUGCACUGCAGUUGAAACUGGUUUGCUUGAGUGCGUAAGAGGCAGGCGGAAUUCGUCGUGUAGCGGUGAAAUGCUUAGAUAUGACGAAGAACUCCUAUUGCGAAGGCAGCUUGCUGGGCCGCAACUGACGCUGAAGCUCGAGGGUGCGGGUAUCGAACAGGAUUAGAUACCCUGGUA